rnacentral:rRNA from 1 species
AACGAACGCUGGCGACGUACUUAACACAUGCAAGUCGGACGAGAAAGGAGACUUCGGUCUCUGAGUACAGUGGCGCACGGGUGCGUAACACGUAAGUAAUCUACCCCGAACCCUGGGAUAACACUCCGAAAGGAGGGCUAAUACUUGAUAGAGUCCCCGAGGUAUAGGCUGCGGGGGGAAAACGGGCCUCUGUUUCAUGCUCGCGGUUCGGGAUGAGCUUGCGGCCCAUUAGCUAGUUGGUAGGUAAUGGCUUACCAAGGCAACGAUGGGUAGCUGGUCUGAGAGGAUGGUCAGCCACACUGGCACUGAGACACGGGCCAGACUCCUACGGGAGGCAGCAGUGGGGAAUUUUGCGCAAUGGGCGAAAGCCUGACGCAGUAACGCCGCGUGGAGGAUGAAGGCCUUCGGGUUGUAAACUCCUGUCAGAAGGAACGACGGGGAAAGGGUGAUAAAACCUUUCCUCCAAACGGUACCUCCAAAGGAAGCCCCGGCUAAUUC